AAUAAGUUUAUUCGGGAAUGCCGAAAAGAAUUGCAGUUCCGGAGUUACAUGCUAUGGCAGACCAUAGGCAAAUCCAGCAAACAAGAGAGAGGAACAUCACAUCAUGGAGAAAAAGGAGGAAGUUGGGAGAGGUUGUUUAGAACCAAAGUCCAUUGGAGGAAAGUGAGAGUUCAGUGUGAUGAUGGGUUCUCGUUGGCUUAGUUGCUGGGGUAGUCAAUUUCCUCUAGUAGAUGCAAUGUUCAUCUUUCCUAUCACGGAUGAUUCUUUCCUAUUGAGGAUUCUUCUUGUUGGGGGUCUGUAGUUGAUAAUCCUCCCUGUAAUAGAUCUCAAGUGGUACUGCUUGAGUGGGAGCUCACCCUUCUGACUCCAUUUUAAAUUGUUUCCCUUUAUUAAUUUCAUAGUCUCUAUUUUAGCAUUGCCCAGUCUCCUCAUUCCCACUUCUCAGAAAACCAGACCAAGAACUGCCCCAGCUGCCAAUACUGCCCGGUUUGGGGCAGGCAUGAGCAUGCUCUACUCCAUCAUUUUUGUUCAUAUUUUUCGUAAUUUUCAAGAUGGAAAAUAUCUAAGAUUGUGCUCUGAAUGCUUGUUUUUAAAGUUGAAUGCACAGUUGUUGAUCUUCAUAGCAGAUUUCCAUCAGGGAUCCCUUCCAACACCAAGGAAAAUUACAACCUAAAAAGCAAAUUUGCCUAUUUUUACCCUCAAAAUGAGUUUAUUUGGGAAUAGCCAAAAGAAUUGCAAUUCAGGAUGUGCAUGCUAUAGCAAACCGUAGGCAAAUCCCAAAAACAAAUGAAGGGAGCUGCUUUAAUAGAGAAAAAUGGGGAGUAGGCAGGGGCUGUUCUAAACAAAAGUCCGUUGAAGGAAAGUAACGGUUCAGGGUCACAACGGCUUCUCAUUGGCUGAGCUGCUGUGUUUCUCAUUGGCUGGGCUGUUGCCGAGUAGGAGGAGAAAUCUUCCUUUAGUAGUAAAGUAGUUUUACUUCCCAUCAGAAGAGGCAAGGGUAGCUCUUUUCCUCUUUCCUGUAGUUGGCAACGUAGGACAGGGAGUGAGAGCUCCCCCUACAGGCCUCCCUGACUCCAAGAGGGAAUCUGGACAAGGACACGUAAAGAGGGAGAAGGUUAUCUGCAAGACAAGGACAGAGGCCUCAGGGGAAACCAAACCUGUGGACAUCUUGAUCUGGGACUUCCAGCCUCCAGCACUAUCCUACAGUCAUAGAUCCUGGAGGGGAUGAAACCGUACUUCAAUAAUUGGUCCCACCUUCAUUCUGUUAAACUGCAAGGCCUCAGUUGUGUAAAAUAAAUUUUCAAUAUUUCCAGUUCUCGUGCAUCUGAAAUUCUUCAUGGUGAUGUUCAUGAAAUUAACAAGACUCACAGAGCAGAUAUUUCACAAUCCGUAGACUCAGAGGUACAAUAUGUAACUCUCUUUAUUUCCCCAUAACGGAAUUCUCUUUUUGUCUUCCCCUCCUGCCUGAUGGUAGAAAACUGAAUUUACUUCCAGGACAGCUCAGACAUGUCAGCGGUUUUUCAGACAUUUCAAGCCUAAAAUUCAAUCAGUUCAGGGGCCAGCCCUGUGGCAUAGUGGUUAACUUCGGUAUGCUCUGCUUUGGCAGACCAGGU